rnacentral:rRNA from 1 species
GCCAAGUAGCCAACAACCAAAACCCCAGCCGCAGAACGGAAACGGAAACUUCUGUGCCCGCGCCCGUACACGGCUCUUGCCUCCAUGGCCUCCACGGCGGCGGCGGCAGCGGCGGCGCCGGUGGUGAUGGUGACGAACGACGACGGCAUCGACGCGCCGGGGCUCCGCUUCCUCGUCGACCAGCUCGUCGCCCAGGGGCGCUACCGCGUCCUCGUCUGCGCGCCCGACACAGACAGGUCGGGCGUUAGCCACUGCAUUACAUGGCGUUCUGCACUUCGCUGUAAACAUGUCAAUAUCAAUGGUGCUACAGCAUUUGGAGUUUCAGGAACUCCCGCUGACUGUGCCUCUUUGGGCAUCUCUGGGAAGCUCUUUGAUGGUUUGGUUCCUGAUUUGGUGCUUAGCGGAAUCAACAUUGGCAAUAAUUGUGGAUUACAUGUUGUAUAUUCUGGAACAGUUGCUGGUGCUAGGGAGGCAUUUAUAUAUGGGAUUCCUGCAUUAUCUAUGUCAUACAAUUGGGUUGCUGGUCAGAGCAGUGUUAAUGACCUCAAAGUGGCUGCAGAGGUUUGUAUCCCUCUGAUAAAUGCUGUCAUGCUCGAGAUCAAGAGUGGAACCUACCCUAAAGGAUCAUUCCUGAAUAUAGAUGUGCCAUCUGAUGCUGCACACCACAAGGGAUACAAAAUUACAAAGCAAGGAAAAUAUAUGGCCAGAAUUGGAUGGGAGCAAACAGUCUACCAAAAGCCUUCCGUAGAAAGUUACCAGACGGCAAGCAUGGUUAUUGACGGUGAAAAGGACAGAGAUAUAGACACUUCAUCGGCGAAUGACCUACUGUUUAAAAGAGUGAUAGUAAAGAGAAGUUAUGAUGAAGAGGAAGGGGAGGACAUGGACUACAAAUCCCUUGCAGAUGGAUAUAUUACUGUUACUCCUUUGGGUGCUCUCUCCCGCGCAGAAGCAGAUGUCAUACCCUACUACAAGGCUUGCUUGUCUCGCAUUUGAAGAUGUUCAUCUUCCUCAUCCCUCUAUGCAAGCAUGCUAUUUGGGAGGCUGGCCAAACUGAACCUACGGAUGUCAUCGCCUGUAAAUUGCGAAUAAAUCGAUCUGUGACAUUCUUGUUGACUUGACCCCUAUGCUGCAUUUGCCAUGUUAUGUAUUGCUGUGAUUAUCUUGGCAGCCUCGAACAACUCUAGCUAUUCGUAACCGUGGUUUUCAGUAUUAGUGGGAGACUGUUUCUUUUUUUGAAAUGACAGUUACCUUGCAUUCAUUAAAAAGAGAAGAGUUGUGGAAA